rnacentral:ncRNA from 1 species
CGAUCGAAAGGGCACCCCGGUCGUGAGGCCGGCUCGCAAUGCCUGGGGUCUCGCCGGGGGCGAGACGGCCCGGCUGCCGAA